GCGGAUGUGGCGGAACUGGUAGACGCACCAGAUUUAGGUUCUGGCGCCGCGAGGCGUGGGGGUUCGAGUCCCUUCAUCCGCACCA
rnacentral:tRNA from 2 species